UAACACUAACUGGAGGACCGAACCGACUAAUGUUGAAAAAUUAGCGGAUGACCUGUGGCUGGGGGUGAAAGGCCAAUCAAACCGGGAGAUAGCUGGUUCUCCCCGAAAGCUAUUUAGGUAGCGCCUCGUGAAUUCAUCUCCGGGGGUAGAGCACUGUUUCGGCUAGGGGGCCAUCCCGGCUUACCAACCCGAUGCAAACUGCGAAUACCGGAGAAUGUUAUCACGGGAGACACACGGCGGGUGCUAACGUCCGUCGUGAAGAGGGAAACAACCCAGACCGCCAGCUAAGGUCCCAAAGUCAUGGUUAAGUGGGAAACGAUGUGGGAAGGCCCAGACAGCCAGGAUGUUGGCUUAGAAGCAGCCAUCAUUUAAAGAAAGCGUAAUAGCUCACUGGUCGAGUCGGCCUGCGCGGAAGAUGUAACGGGGCUAAACCAUGCACCGAAGCUGCGGCAGCGACACUGUGUGUUGUUGGGUAGGGGAGCGUUCUGUAAGCCUGCGAAGGUGGCCUGUGAGGGUUGCUGGAGGUAUCAGAAGUGCGAAUGCUGACAUAAGUAACGAUAAAGCGGGUGAAAAGCCCGCUCGCCGGAAGACCAAGGGUUCCUGUCCAACGUUAAUCGGGGCAGGGUGAGUCGACCCCUAAGGCGAGGCCGAAAGGCGUAGUCGAUGGGAAACGGGUUAAUAUUCCCGUACUUGGUGUUACUGCGAAGGGGGGACGGAGAAGGCUAUGUUGGCCGGGCG
rnacentral:rRNA from 1 species